UACAGAGGUCCCAAGCGUUGUUCGGAUUUACUGGGCGUAAAGGGUGCGUAGGUGGCGGGGUAAGUCUGGUGUGAAAGCUCCGAGCUCAACUCGGAAAAGCAUUGGAAACUAUCCCGCUGGAGGGUCGGAGGGGAGACUGGAAUUUACGGUGUAGCAGUGAAAUGCGUAGAUAUCGUAAGGAAGGCCGGUGGCGAAAGCGAGCCUCUGGACAGUUACUGACGCUGAUGCACGAAGGCCAGGGGAGCAAACGGG
rnacentral:rRNA from 1 species